GACACACAGAUUCCAAGUAUUUUCUCUUUCUUCCCCCUUUCUUCUUCGUCUUUUCCUCCUUUAGGAAAGGAUGGAAGCCUAUUUGCUAAACUUGUUUUUCAGCCUUACACAGGCCUCUAACUCGCACUCUUUCAUUUUGUGUGGAGACUGCCGCUUUCGACAUCUCUCUCUUUCUCUGUCAGACUGCGAUGUACCAGAAUCUGUGCAGAACAGAGACUCGUCCCCCAGACUUUGUCAAAACCACACAAUAUUUGGCCUUUGCAAAAGGAAAAAAAGGGAAAAUCUUAUUUGUACCCUGUGCUCACCCCCACCAACAAGAAGCUCAAGGCAGCAUACAUGGGUUUCCUCCCACUAGUGGACAAGGGGAUUCCCAGGGGCACAAGAAGCCUGAUGAGGGGGAUGGGCUGGCAAUGAGCAAUGGCUGAAAGGCUGAUAGAAACUACAGCUACAGCAAUUUACAAGAAGCAUCAUGUUCCUAGCUACUUCAACCUUUGAAGGGAGAAUCAAAGAACUUAAAUCAUUUGGAGGUUAAAUCUGUCUCAUCAAUCAAUCAAAGUUUAUUUGUUUGGCCAUUAACUGAAAUACAAUUAACCAAUAAAGGCAUACCAGUAAAAAAAAAAAAGGGGGGGGGAGAUGUUUCCAGAUUACAAAAUUCCAGUUACAAUUGAUUUUCAUUUUUACAUCCAGUAUAAAUCAAUUUGUCCAGAGAACAAGAAUCCAAAAAGGAUUAAUUUUACCCGAUAAUCUGUCACAUGCAUAUA